AAGAAGGAAAUGAAAUAACUAGGUUAUUAAACCUAGUUAUAUGCUUGGUUAAAACAAAUAAGGAUAGGAAAUUAAGUUAAUUAUGAACAAAUGACAAACUUGAGGGGUUGAUUUGGAAAAGAUGGAAAGAUGAAAUAUAAAAUAAAAAUAAAAACUCAAAAACACACACUGAGUGUGUGUGGGGUGCGUACGAUCGCACAGGAGAAGAGGCAGAAAGGGGCACAAACCCUAAUUCAAGAUAAACCUUCAAAUUGAAAGGGGAAACUGGCUCUAAUCGGAUGCAUGGACCUAGAUUCUUAAUCAUCUAGACUUUCUACACAUGAGCUCGACUCUUGACAAACUAUAUGGGAUCUUGGAGAAGAAUGGGUUAAAUGGGUCAAGUACGCAAAGAAGCUCUAAUGGACACAAAGUAAGUAAGCUUACAUCUUUUGUAGAAUAUGAAUUUGUUUUUAUGAACUAUAAAUAUGAUAAAAUCGAAAUGCGGUUUCCGACGCGAUAUGGUACAUGUCGGAAUAUAUAUAAUCGAUAAAAACCAUGGUUAAUAGUAAAAAAGGGCAAAUUGGUAAUUUAGUCAUGAAUGACUAAGAUUUAAUGAGUUUUCGUUAAGGUUACCUUAUAGUGUAACUAAUAAAAGAAAUAGCGGGGUAAAAUCCGAAAUGGGUCGUAUGCGUAAAUUUGAAAUUAAAAUAUCAAGUUUUGUAAACAUCAAUAUUUGGUCAGUCAGACCACACGGGCCAAAUGGUAGUAAUAAUACCAUUUGACAAAUUCGACUAAUGUUUGGUUGGCAAGUCACUUGUUCAUAGGAACGAAUAGCAAUUUGGAUAAUUGCGUCGCCAUAAAGUUUCAGCUAAUAAAGUGAGGUAUAAAAACGGGUCUAUGCGUUGACUCGAGCCAGGUACGCGACGAAACGUUUUGUUGUUGUUAAUUGUUAAUACGUAAAUCUUAUAUAUUGAUGAUAUAUGAAAGUUCGAGAUGUAAAAAUGUUUGAUUUGUCUAUAAUAAGGAUUUAUGAUAGACAAAUCAACGGGUUGAGCAAUAAUAGGUGCAAACCGGGUAAAUGGGUGCACAAUUCCAUAAGUGCUAAGCCCGGGGUUAUGGGUAAAGAAACAUUAAACACACAAGCCGGUAGUCGAAGCGAGAAUGCGAGUAGAAUAAAGGAUUUGGGGACGGGUUGUCAAAUUGAGUAUUAAGUCCCAUGCAUAGGAAUGUGAUUGAAAUAGGAUUUAUUGCUUAUUAGCGAACUAACCUCGUGUAUGUGUUUAUACAGUUUAAAUCAGUUGAAGUAAUAAGUUACUAAACCAUUGUCUUGAGUAUGAAAUGAGAAUGCAGGUAUUCUUUUAACGUUAUUAUCAGGGUUAAAGAAAUUGGAAUGCACGAAUGUACACGAAAAGCUUAUUCGUGGGGAUUAGUAUGGGAAGAAGGAACGCGGACUGGCUAUUGAUUACAUAGGUCUAGUUUAGGAAUGAUAUCAUUGUAUCUAACCGAUGUAUAUGUAUGUGGUGAAUGCAGGUGGCGUGGACAUAGCAUCAUUACGAAGAAAAGAAGGUUUGAAGGUCGAGUCAAGAGCGAGGGUUGUACGGGAAGGAUCAGUCACAUAAUUUGACAAAAAAAUAUAUAUAUAUAUAUAGGUCUUGAAGUAUUAAUAUAACGGGACGUGGUAAAUUCCUUUUUAAUGAGUGUAUGAAUUUUUGUCUUGGAACCUUCUUGUAAGUAUUAUGUCUAGUAAAGAACGAAAUUUUUGGGCUCUUA